GGAUGCAAUCUGAGUCACCAAAAAGAACGAACCAAUAAAUCAGCAAAAAAUUACAGGGAAAGAUGGCAAGGAUUCAGGGAGAAGGAGACAAUGAAGGAGAAGAAGUCGAGAGUAAGAGGAAGAAGAAGCAGCAGUAGCAACAUCACAAUCGAGAAAAGUUUAAUAAAUAAAAUUGACUCUAUGUAUGGGAGUUGAAAAGGCCAGCAGUAGCUUUUUUUUU
rnacentral:misc_RNA from 1 species